UAGUUACAAAAAGAAAGGAGGUGCCAACUACUGAAAAAACCGAAAGCACUUCAAAUGCGAUUGCAAGGCACCGAUGGACCGAAAAGGACAAACAAACUAUGCUUAAAUACUUUACAAGAUUCAUAAAAGAAAAAAGGGUUCCGAAAAAAGCAGACGUACAGGAAUUUAAAAAAAAAUAAAGCUGGAGAAAACUUUAAAUCAAUUGAUUGGGUAAAAAUUAAAACGUUUGUUUACAAUUCUUAGUGUAGUUUUUGUGAAGCUUUUUAUUAAAUAAAGUGUUUCUAAACA